rnacentral:rRNA from 1 species
UUAAGUCGCCCAGCAGAGCAGACUAGACUCCAGCUGUUUACUCUUGCUUCUUGGAGCAAUGCCGUAGAGCUUGGCACUCGGUCGCCACAUCUUUCUUGCAAAGUGAGCGGAAAGGGUGCCGGUGCAGCUCUAACUGCGGCUCCCUCCAGAAGGGAUAGUUGUAGCUUGGUUCUGAGCUCGGCUGCCUCGCAGCAACAAUGUGCGAGGCUUCGCCGGUGCACUCCAAAGUUAGGUUCAUGGUGAAGGCCUCGAAGCUGGCCUUCUGCGACCUUUUAAAUUGGAGAGCCAUACAGCGUAGGCUGGGAGUCUGUCCGCUCCGGGGCCCGCUCUGGGCUCCGGCGUUACGCGCAAGCUUUUUAGUCACGAGUUACACAGGACGUUAAGUGUGGUUCAGAGCGUCGAC